GAUGAAGAACGUAGCGAAAUGCGAUAAGUAAUGUGAAUUGCAGAAUUCAGUGAAUCAUCGAAUCUUUGAACGCACAUUGCGCCCCCUGGUAUUCCGGGGGCAUGCCUGUUCGAGCGUCAUUUCACCACUCAAGCCUCGCUUGGUAUUGGGCAACGCGGUCCGCCGCGUGCCUCAAAUCGACCGGCUGGGUCUUCUGUCCCCUAAGCGUUGUGGAAACUUUCGCUAAAGGGUGUUCGGGAGGCUACGCCGUAAAACAACCCCAUUUCUAAGGUUGACCUCGGAUCAGGUAGGGAUACCCGCUGAACUUAAGCAUAUCAAUAAGCGGAGGA
rnacentral:misc_RNA from 1 species